UACUGACUCAAAAUGGCUGAAAAACCUAAAUGUGAGACAGGAAUCCAUCAAAAUCCUGGAAGAGAACACGGGCAGCUACCUCUUUGACCUCAGACACAGCAAGUUCCAACUAGACACAUCUCAGAAGACAAGGGAAACAAAGGCAAAAAUGAGCUAUUAGGACUUUAUCAAAAUAAAAAGCUUUU